GAUGAACGCUGGCGGCGUGCCUAAUACAUGCAAGUCGAGCGAACAGACGAGGAGCUUGCUCCUCUGACGUUAGCGGCGGACGGGUGAGUAACACGUGGAUAACCUACCUAUAAGACUGGGAUAACUUCGGGAAACCGGAGCUAAUACCGGAUAAUAUAUUGAACCGCAUGGUUCAAUAGUGAAAGACGGUUUUGCUGUCACUUAUAGAUGGAUCCGCGCCGCAUUAGCUAGUUGGUAAGGUAACGGCUUACCAAGGCAACGAUGCGUAGCCGACGUGAGAGGGUGAUCGGCCACACUAGAACUGAGACACGGUCCAGACUCCGACGGGAGGCAGCAGUAGGGAAUCUUCCGCAAUGGGCGAAAGCUUGACGGAGCAACGCCGCGUGAGUGAUGAAGGUCUUCGGGUCGUAAAACUCUGUUAUUAGGGAAGACCAAAUGUGUAAGUAACUAUGCACGUCUUGACGGUACCUAAUCAGAAAGCCACGGCUAACUACGUG
rnacentral:rRNA from 1 species